AACCAACUGGGAUUACCUUAGUAACGGCGAGUGAAGCGGUAAAAGCUCAAAUUUGAAAUCUGGUACUUUCAGUGCCCGAGUUGUAAUUUGUAGAAUUUGUCUUUGAUUAGGUCCUUGUCUAUGUUCCUUGGAACAGGACGUCAUAGAGGGUGAGAAUCCCGUUUGGCGAGGAUACCUUUUCUCUGUAAGACUUUUUCUAAGAGUCGAGUUGUUUGGGAAUGCAGCUCAAAGUGGGUGGUAAAUUCCAUCUAAAGCUAAAUAUUGGCGAGAGACCGAUAGCGAACAAGUACAGUGAUGGAAAGAUGAAAAGAACUUUGAAAAGAGAGUGAAAAAGUACGUGAAAUUGUUGAAAGGGAAGGGCAUUUGAUCAGACAUGGUGUUUUUUAAAUGUGCAAGUCUCUCGUGGACAUGUGCCUCUGGAAAUUAACACUGGGCCAACAUCAGUUCUGGCGGCAGGAUAAAUCAUUAAGAAUGUAGCUACCUCGGUAGUGUUAUAGCUUUUUGGAAUACUGCC
rnacentral:rRNA from 1 species